rnacentral:rRNA from 1 species
AUUGAACGCUGGCGGCAGGCCUAACACAUGCAAGUCGAGCGGAUGAAGGGAGCUUGCUCCUGGAUUCAGCGGCGGACGGGUGAGUAAUGCCUAGGAAUCUGCCUGGUAGUGGGGGAUAACGUCCGGAAACGGGCGCUAAUACCGCAUACGUCCUGAGGGAGAAAGUGGGGGAUCUUCGGACCUCACGCUAUCAGAUGAGCCUAGGUCGGAUUAGCUAGUUGGUGGGGUAAAGGCCUACCAAGGCGACGAUCCGUAACUGGUCUGAGAGGAUGAUCCGUCACACUGGAACUGAGACACGGUCCAGACUCCUACGGGAGGCAGCAGUGGGGAAUAUUGGACAAUGGGCGAAAGCCUGAUCCAGCCAUGCCGCGUGUGUGAAGAAGGUCUCGGAUUGUAAAGCACUUUAAGUUGGGAGGAAGGGCAGUAAGUUAAUACCUUGCUGUUUUGACGUUACCAACAGAAUAAGCACCGGCUAACUUCGUG